UUACCCGCUGAACUUAAGCAUAUCACUAAGCGGAGGAAAAGAAACUAACUAGGAUUCCCCCAGUAACUGCGAGUGAAGAGGGAAGAGCUCAUCAUUGGAAUCUGGCAGUGUUGCACUGUCCGAGUUGUAGAUGAGGAGUAGUCCGUCUGGACUGCAUGGCGUCCAAGUACAAUAGGCCGUCAGUGGGACAUCAUAGAGGGUGACAAUCCCGUCCUUGACGCUAAUGUGCAAGUCUAUUACGAUGGCUAUCUCAGAGAGUCGAGCAGUUUGGGAUUUGCUGCUUAAACAUGGGAGGUAGAUUCCUUCUAAAGCUAAAUACAGGCGAGAGACCGAUAGAGAACAAGUACCGCAAGGGAAAGAUGAAAUAGCACUCUGUGAAGGGAGUCAAAAGGCGUGAAAUUGUUGCGAGAGAAGCGAUUCAAGUCAGCGUAGCUAGGCCCAUCAAGCGUCUUCGCUUUGGACUAGCUUUGCCAGCGGUCUUGUCCCUUAAAGAGACUUGACUUGUAAUAUGUCCAGCCUGGCGUGCACAGGCAGCCCCUUCUGGGGGCCAGUGGCAUGGCUGGUGGAAUGGCUUGCAAUCGACCCGUCUUGAAACACGGACCAAGGAGUCUAACAUGUAUGCGAGUAUAAGGGUGGCAAACCCGUAUGCGCAAUGAAAGUGAUUUUCGGUGAUUGAGAAUGGCCUGAUGACCAGACAAGCAAUACAUGUCCCUCGUACGGCCAUUGCCCAAGUUCCGUGGUAGAUCCCACGAACAUGGAGUUGGAGCAUACAUGCUAGGACCCGAAAGAUGGUGAACUAUGCCUGGACAAAGCGAAGCCAAAGGAAACUCUGGUGGAGGCUUGUAGCGAUUCUGACGUGCAAAUCGAUCGUCUGAUCUGGGUAUAGGGGCGAAAGACUAAUCGAACCAUCUCAUAGCUGGUUCCUGCCGAAGUUUCCCUCAGGA
rnacentral:rRNA from 1 species